rnacentral:rRNA from 1 species
UGGGGAAUCUUGCACAAUGGGGGCAACCCUGAUGCAGCGACGUCGCGUGAGCGAUGAAGGUUUUCGAAUCGUAAAGCUCUGUCCUAUGGGAAGAUAAUGACGGUACCACAGGAGGAAGCCCUGGCUAAAUACGUGCCAGCAGCCGCGGUAAUACGUAUGGGGCGAGCGUUGUCCGGAAUUAUUGGGCGGAAAGGGUACGUAGGUGGUUUUUUAAGUCAGGUGUCAAAGCGUGGAGCUUAACUCCAUUAAGCACUUGAAACUGAAAGACUUGAGUGAAGGGGAGGGAAGUGGAAUUCCUGGUGUAGCGGUGAGAUGCGUAGAUAUUAGGAAGAAUACCGGUGGCGAAGGCGACUUUCUGGACUUUUACUGACGCUCAGGUACGAAAGCGUGGGGAGCAAACAGG